rnacentral:rRNA from 1 species
UACAGAGGCCCCGAGCGUUACCCGGAAUCACUGGGCGUAAAGCGUGUGUAGGUGGUCAUAUUAGUCGUUCGUUAAAACCCCGGGCCUAACCCGGGAAGUGCGGGCGAAACGGUAUGACUCGAGGGUGUGAGAGGUGCAUAGAACUCUAGGUGUAGGGGUGAAAUCCGUUGAUAUCUAGGGGAAUACCGAAAGCGAAGGCAGUGCACUGGCGCAUUCCUGACACUCAAACACGAAAGCGUGGGUAGCGAACGGG